rnacentral:rRNA from 1 species
CCUACGGGGGGCAGCAGUGGGGAAUAUUGGGCAAUGGAGGAAACUCUUACCCAGCAAUGCCGCGUGAAUGAAGAAGGUCUUCGGAUUGUAAAGUUCUUUUAUUGGUGACGAAACAAAUGACGGUAGCCAAUGAAUAAGCCCCGGCUAACUACGUGCCAGCAGCCGCGGUAAUACGUAGGGGGCAAGCGUUGUCCGGAAUGACUGGGCGUAAAGGGUGUGUAGGCGGUUUAUCAAGUUGAAAGUGAAAUCCCCGGGCUUAACUCGGGAGCUGCUUUCAAAACUGAUAGACUUGAGUGCAGUAGAGAAAAGCGGAAUUCCUAGUGUAGCGGUGGAAUGCGUAGAUAUUAGGAGGAACACCAGCGGCGAAGGCGGCUUUUUGGACUGUAACUGACGCUGAGGCACGAAAGUGUGGGGAGCAAACAGGCUUAGAUACCCCGGUAGUC